GACGAACGCUGGCGGCGUGCUUAACACAUGCAAGUCGAACGGAAAGGCACUGCUUUUGUGGGGUGCUCGAGUGGCGAACGGGUGAGUAACACGUGAGUAACCUGCCCUUGACUUUGGGAUAACUUCAGGAAACUGGGGCUAAUACCGGAUAGGAGCUCCUGCUGCAUGGUGGGGGUUGGAAAGUUUCGGCGGUUGGGGCUGGAUUCGCGGCUUAUCAGCUUGUUGGUGGGGUAGUGGCUUACCAAGGCUUUGACGGGUAGCCGGCAUGAGAGGGUGACCGGCCACAUUGGGACUGAGGGACGGCGCAGACGGCUACAGGAGGCAGCAGUGGGGAAUAUGGCACAGUGGUCGGGAGCCGGAUGCAGCAGCGCCGCGGGCGGAAUGACGGCCUUCUGGGUGUAAAACGCUGUCGCCUGUGACGAAGCGUGAGUGACGGUAAUGGGUGAAGAAGCACCGGCUAACUACGUG
rnacentral:rRNA from 1 species